UGGCCCAGGCUGCUGGGGGGCUGCAGCGCAUGAAACCCUGCAGCAGGAAGGCACGGCACUGCCCUCUGCUCUGCAGGGCUGGGGGAAAAGAUGAUGGGCGAAUGAGGAGAGCGCAGGGAGCAGCUCUGCCUGUGCUCCCCGAAAAAAAAAAUGCGAAAAACAUGGUUAGAUGCCACGAAGUAGGUGGCAGUGCCUUAACCGUAUGCGUGUUGUACAGGCCACUGGGGCCUCUUCCAUCCUUAUCAAGGGGAGUGCUAACCUUCUCUCCUUUCAUACAACACAGCAACACUGCUUACGCUGAGGCUAUUUAAACCCCUGCUGAUAGCUCUACUUCGCGGACACGAAGUCUUUGCCUCCUGCAUCCCAAGGGAAUACAACAAACAAACAAGCAAAUCUGGCUAACCCAGCCUCAGCAUCACCACCACCUGCCCUGGCAGCUGGGCCAGGCUGGGGUUACCAGUGGGUUACCAGUGGGUUACCAGUGGGUUACCAGUGGGUUACCAGCCCGGUUCCUUCCUCCAGCCCCUCCAACGCCGCAUUCCCCGACUGGGGACCAGCCGCAGAGCCCCAUCGUCCUGUUUCCCCCAUCGCAACACAUUGCCCGUCUCCCCACCCACUGCAACGCCACGUGCUGUCCCUCAGCCCCCCUGGCUCCAUCUCGCUGCCCUGCAGGGGCUGCGUCGGAGCCCCCAGCUUUGCUGGAUGAGGCCGCAGAGCCAGGUGCUGUGCCUGGGGCUGUGCACGGCCCCAAACCCACCAGCUGCACGGGGCUGCUGCGUCGCUUCAGCAUCGCUUCAGCAUCGCUUCAUCAGAGCCCGGGCUGCUCCUUGCACGCGAGCAGCCUCCCCUGCCAGACACCGAUGAGUUUAUUAAGGGAUUAAAAGUUAGUCUCCCCUCCUUAUUGAAUGCUCUGAUUUAUGCGGGCGUUUAAAUCAAUCCCAUUUCCUGCAUUUUAUCCCUUCUCCCCUAGGCUUUCAGGCUUUGCUGUGUGAGACAUUUGCUAUAAUCACAUUGUUUUGAGGCAAGCGAGACACCGUGGGUGGUUUAAGUGAUUUGAAUAAAUGAGCUGCAUUGCUCA
rnacentral:lncRNA from 1 species